AUGAACGCUGGCGGCGUGCCUAAUACAUGCAAGUCGAGCGCACAGACGAGGAGCUUGCUCCUCUGACGUUAGCGGCGGACGGGUGAGUAACACGUGGAUAACCUACCUAUAAGACUGGGAUAACUUCGGGAAACCGGAGCUAAUACCGGAUAAUAUAUUGAACCGCAUGGUUCAAUAGUGAAAGACGGUUUUGCUGUCACUUAUAGAUGGAUCCGCGCCGCAUUAGCUAGUUGGUAAGGUAACGGCUUACCAAGGCAACGAUGCAUAGCCGACCUGAGAGGGUGAUCGGCCACACUGGAACUGAGACACGGUCCAGACUCCUACGGGGGGCAGCAGUAGGGAAUCUUCCGCAAUGGGCGAAAGCUUGACGGAGCAACGCCGCGUGAGUGAUGAAGGUCUUCGGAUCGUAAAACUCUGUUAUUAGGGAAGAACAAAUGUGUAAGUAACUAUGCACGUCUUGACGGUACCUAAUCAGAAAGCCACGGCUAACUACGUG
rnacentral:rRNA from 1 species